CAAAUAAAAAAUUUUGACUCCUUUUUUCUUACACCUUACCAUCUUAUAUUUUAGUAAAUCUUGUCAAAAUGUAUCCGUAAUUCAGUAAUUCAAUCACCUUCAUCACCUCCAAUGGGAUCACCCUGCUUCAAAACCCACCAGCACUUUCCUGGAAUAUUAUAAUGACUUCACUUUUUCCCCAUACUCAUGACAUACUUAUGCCUUUUACUUAACUAUUUUUUAAUUUUCCACUUCUCCCCAUUAGCACAUGACUUUUCUGAGGACGGGUUGUUCUAUUUUAUUUACUGUGGUAUUGUCAACUCUUAGAACAAUGCCUCUCUCAGUUAUUUGCUGGGUUAAUUAAUUAGUGAGUGCUGCAAAAAACGGUGUCAAGUACUAAUCCCAUUCGAGGCAGGUAGGCUGCCCCGCAAAUGAUAAGGCAGCUGGGAAAAAACUUUUCCUUAGUGAUUUGGACAAGAGGCUGAGAUAUACUCGAUUUGGCUCUUAGAAUGUCGAUUUGCAUAAUGUUAUAAAAAUGCAACUCACUCAUGCAGGCAGGCAAAUAGUGACCGUAUCUGCAGAGCUGAGCACCAGCCACACCAUGUAGACCGUAAGUCUUUUACUCACUGUGGAUCUUCCCAUUCAUUUUCUUGCUUUAUGCUGGGGCCAGGUGUCAAUUGCCAUUUGCCAUUGCACUUACACUAUUAUCUGUCUUGUAGUAGAGAAUUAUUUCUUUGGACUCAUCUCUGUUGGAAGUAGGGAAGUGAAAAGAUAAACCAAGAAAGCCAUGUAUUUUCAAAAGAAAGAGAGAUUGUGCUUUUUGUGGAAGUCAAAAAUAUUCCUCUCUGUUUAAUAGGCAAAAUGUAACUAUGUCAAAGAAUGCAACAUAAAAAAACCAUUAUGAAAUAAACUGUACUAAAAACCAUUGCCAGUACAUAGAAACGCAUAUGUGAGUGCCAGUAUGAAUAGAAUCAGAUUAAUGAAUUAAUUUAUUUCAACAGGACUUGAUUGUAAAUGAAAAAUGUAAAAAUAAUAAUGCUGUGAAAUUCAGAUGUAUAUUAAGUGAAAAAACUGCAUCAAAACAUUUAACAGAUGAGGUUACUGCUCUGAGGACCAGAUGCCAGGCCAAAGACUCAAGCUGUUGGUACACAUUUGCUCUAGGCACAAGGCAGUGACCACAUGUGUGGACACUUGCUUCUUACCACUCACCAUCAUGAUCCUGCUCUGAGACCAUCUAGGCCCAGUGAGUGGCUUUAUAAAUUAGACCUUGAAUCAGAGGCUCUUUUCCUCAUUAGAAUGUGGUCUCAACUGCUCCCUUUUCCCUGUAAUCCAGAGGAUGUUGGAUGAUUCAAGAAAAUUCCUGUUUCUUGUGACUUUAGUUUUCCUAGUCCUUUGUAAAAAUUUGAGACACCAUAACAUAUGAUGAUGCUGGGAAGGAGAAUAAAGGUAACCCCACCCUAUACAGAGAGGGCUUGGGAGAAAUAGCAGGGUUAUCUUUAGGUGUGUCUAACCCAUAAAUCCCCAAUCUGUGAUCUAUGACAAAGUGAGCAGUGACCCUUAGCACAAAAGUGGAUGGAAAGAAGGAGCAUGGAACUCAGAGGCAUUGUUAGGUAGACUGCUGGAUAGGAGGUUAUCCUGAAACUAAUGUAACAUUGUAUAUCAACUACACUCAAAUAAGUGCAAAACAGCAUAUAUUGCAUGCUAUAUUUGUUUUUAAGCAAGAAAAACAAUAAAACAACAAACAUAUCUAAUGUUGCGGGGGAAAAAAGGAAAUUAUAUUUCCUCCUCCUCUUUAUCCCCUUUUCUACAUUUCCUAAAAGCAGGCAUUGUUACAGAGGCCUCUUCCAUGCAAAGGUCGGAUCAGGUCUCUCUGAGGAGAUAAUAUUUCAGCUCUGAGACCUUCUCGUACACAGCUAAGGAAUUCUUUGAGGGAAGGUAAUUGUUUGGGUGGGCUAAUAGGAGAAUCGGGUCAUAAUUAGUUAUUUUCAGUUUCCGAUUUUGUUCUAAAUAAAAUGUCUAUUUAUUUCUUUUCUCUAUAUGUAACUUAAAGGCUUAUCUUUUUCUUGGUAACCUUCAGGCAUUCUUUGUAAAAUAAAGAUAAUAACCACUUGUCUAAUGUUGCAAAUACUCCCCCCCCCCCGUUGUCAUUUGUCUUCUAUUUUGACUGAAGAUCUUUUUUUUUUUUUACAUAAAAAUGCUUGAGUUCAAAAUUUAUUAGUCAUUUUGAUGACUCUCUUUCCCUCACACCAUGAUGCAUUUGGGACACCUGUGAAAGGGAGAGAAAAGGGUGGAAAUUUGAGUAAGAGGAGCUUCCGUGUGCAUGAAACUCUGAGAAAGUCUCAGCCAGGCUGUGAGAUGCCCCAGAGAAAAGAUUAUCCAGUCAGAGGAGUCCUGCAUCAGAGAGGGACAGCCUGGGUAAUUGGCCGCUGCCCUGCUUCUUGUUGGCUGGGUGUAGCCGAGGAAUAUCCAGACCUUGAGCUGAACAGUGAGGCAGAUGCCAUAGUGUGGUAUCCACAGACUGCCUGUUACGUUCUUCUCAUCAGGUUCUCUGCACGGGAGAUGUGAACAGGGCAUGCGCACAACCGUCACAGCCUGCCCUGCUGUGGCGCACAAAUCCACGUCCACACUUUUGUCCUACAUGCUUUCCAUGGGCCGCUUUUUCUGAAGAGUUCUAAUAUUAUCCAAUGGGGUACAUGUCAAAAGAAACAGGCAUAUUAUUGGAACAAAAAUUGCAAGGGUCCAUCACUUCCCGCAUGAAGCAUGUGUAUGCUUCUUUUUUGGCAAGGUGCUAGCCUUGAAAAUACCAAUGGAGUUAUAAGGGGAGAUGAGAAAGAAGACACCAGAGGAUUGGUAAGCCUCUCUCUCAGCAUUCUGGUCAUCUUUAAAAUGCCAGGGGAGAUAUGUGGAGAUAACAGAAAUAGGAAUGUAUACUGGCGCCAGCCCGUGUCCUCUACUUUCCUCUUUCAAGGUCAACGGCCUUACUAUAAUUCUUUUUCUGUGUUUGUUUUUGAAUAGGAAAUAAACUCGGAUGGUUCAAAAAUCAAAAAAUAUUAAAGGCAGAGAGUGAAAACUUUUGUUUUUCCUCCACAGUCCUUCAUCUACCUAAUCCUGGUGACAACUACUUGUAGCUUGUACUUAACUAGCUUUUCAUGUAUUCUUACAAAGUUCCUUUAUAUAGUACAAAGAAAUGGGUAGGGAAAUCCCUAUCAAUACAUAAUUUCCCCCGUUCUUUGUUACCAUAGUGUUAUACGGCAUCAGUGUCCCAACAUCAAUCCACAGCCCCUCACUGAUUCCCGUGUUGAUCCACCAUUCCCUUCUUAAUUAGUUCCAAACAAUUACUAUUACAAAUAAUAUAGUGAAUUGCUUUACGUAUACGUCAUUUUCCACCAAUAUGAAUAUGUGUGUAAGUUCCCAGAUGAGGAAUUACUGGGCCAUAAGGUAUAUGCAUUUUUAAUUUGGUAUUUCAGCACGGUUACUCUCCUUAGGGACCCCAGCAAUUUAUAUUCCUGACUAGCAAAGCAGUAGCGCUUAUCUCCUACAGCCCCACACCCUCAACAGUGUAUCAACUUGCAUCCUGCCAUAUAUUUAAAAGCAAUUCAUACUUCCGUUUCUGUGAACACUCUGCUUAUACUGUCUGUCCAUUUAUCUGUUAUUGGUCUUUUUCUUAUCAACUCUGAAGAAUUCUUUACAUGUUUGGGAGAUUAGCCCUGUGUCUAUGAUAUAAGAUACACAUACUUUUUCUCAGUCUGUCUUUUGCUUUGUUUAUGGUGUUUGCUUUGUAGAAGUUUUCUAUACACAGAGAGAUUUUGUCAAUCUUUUCUUUUAUGACUUCUGGGUUUUGAAUAGUUUUUGCAUAGUUAGAGAUUUCCUCACUCCAAAGUAAUAAAAGAAAUAACUUGUUUUUGUUUUUUUUUCCUAUACCUUAUGAUGUGAGGUAGGGAUCCAACUUAAUUCUGUUUCAAAUGACUACCUAUUGCCAAUACAAUUUAUUAAAGAGUCCACCUUUUCCAUCAUUGACUUUGCAUACAACCUGUAGCACAUACUAAAUUAAUUCAUUUGUAUGGGACAAUUUAUGUACUUUUUACUCUGAAUCAACAGGUUGUCAAGCAACAGCCUCCCACAGUUCUAAUUACAGAGGUUUUUCUCAUAUGUUAUAUUAUUUCAUAAUGUUAUAAUAUAAUUUGGUUUUAUGUCUAGUGAAAGUACCCUAUUGCUCUUUUUUUAAUCAGAGAUUUUUUUUAGCUAUUCUUGUUUGUUUGUUUGUUUGUUUUUCCAAGUGAAAUUCAGAAUCAGCUUGUAUGUCCCCCCCCAAAAAAAAAACCCCUAUUAGUAUCUAUAUUGGAAUCAGAUUAACUUCAUAAAUUAAUUUAGGAUAAAUGAUAUCCUUUGGUUAUGGUUUGGGUCCAAAAGUAUUAUGUGUCUUUCCAUUUGCAUAAGUUGUCUUCUAUAUCAGUGGCACAUUAAAAUCUUUAUUCAUAUAAGACUUGCUCUGUUCCAGUUAAGUUCAUUCUUGGAUGUUUUCUCUUUUUGACUGCUACUCGAAGUAGGAUCUUUUCUAUCAUGGUAGCUUCUAAUAAUUGUUUGUAUAUGGAGAUGUCUCUAUGUUAAAUCUACAUCUGCUCUAUCUUAGGGAAUUUUUUAUUACUCAUUUGAAACACUUUGGCUGAUUCUUUAGGGUUUUCAGGUAUACAACCAUAUCAUUUUUAAAUAUUGAUAGUUCAACCUCCUCCUUUAUUAUUUUCUACCUUUAUUACCUUAUUCUGAUGUCUAUUUCUUGUUGUUUCUAUGUUUUCUUGUCAUGGUCCUUCAAGUAAGAUAUUCCUGAUUUAGUCAGAGUGCCUCUAGUGUUCCACAAGGCUGGCUGGAUAUGUCAUAUUAAGAAGUAGCCAUCUAAUGUGAAUUUUUAGAGUAUUUUGGAGGUCAAAACUGGAAUUGAAAAUUUUAUCAAAUGACUCUUCAGCUUCCGUGGAGAUGAUCAUC